GACGAACGCUGGCGGCGUGCCUAAUACAUGCAAGUUGAGCGCUGAAGGUUGGUACUUGUACCAACUGGAUGAGCAGCGAACGGGUGAGUAACGCGUGGGGAAUCUGCCUUUGAGCGGGGGACAACAUUUGGAAACGAAUGCUAAUACCGCAUAAAAACUUUAAACACAAGUUUUAAGUUUGAAAGAUGCAAUUGCCUCACUCAAAGAUGAUCCCGCGUUGUAUUAGCUAGUUGGUGAGGUAAAGGCUCACCAAGGCGAUGAUACAUAGCCGACCUGAGAGGGUGAUCGGCCAAAUUGGGACUGGGAAACGGCCCAAACUCCUACGGGAGGCAGCAGUAGGGAAUCUUUGGCAAUGGACGAAAGUCUGACCGAGCGACGCCGCGGGAGUGAAGAAGGUUUUCGGAUCGUAAAACUCUGUUGGUAGAGAAGAAAGUUGGUGAGAGUGGAAAGCUCAUCAAGUGACGGUAACUACCCAGAAAGGGACGGCUAACUACGUG
rnacentral:rRNA from 1 species